CCUACGGGAGGCUGCAGUGAGGAAUAUUGGUCAAUGGGCGUAAGCCUGAACCAGCCAAGUCGCGUGAGGGAUGAAGGUUCUAUGGAUCGUAAACCUCUUUUAUAAGGGAAUAAAGUGCGGGACGUGUCACGUUUUGUAUGUACCUUAUGAAUAAGGAACGGCUAAAUCCGUGCCAGCAGCCGCGGUAAUACGGAGGAUCCGAGCGUUAUCCGGAUUUAUUGGGUUUAAAGGGUGCGUAGGCGGUCUUUUAAGUCAACGGUGAAAGUCGGUGGCUCAACCAUAGAAUUGCCGUUGAAACUGGGGUGCGUGAGUAUGUUUGAGGCAGGCGGAAUGCGUGGGGUAGCGGUGAAAUGCUU
rnacentral:rRNA from 1 species